GAUGAACGCUGGCGGCGUGCCUAAUACAUGCAAGUCGAGCGAACAGAUGAGGAGCUUGCUCCUCUGACGUUAGCGGCGGACGGGUGAGUAACACGUGGAUAACCUAUCUAUAAGACUGGGAUAACUUCGGGAAACCGGAGCUAAUACCGGAUAAUAUAUUGAACCGCAUGGUUCAAUAGUGAAAGACGGUUUUGCUGUCACUUAUAGAUGGAUCCGCGCCGCAUUAGCUAGUUGGUAAGGUAACGGCUUACCAAGGCAACGAUGCGUAGCCGACCUGAGAGGGUGAUCGGCCACACUGGAACUGAGACACGGUCCAGACUCCUACGGGAGGCAGCAGUAGGGAAUCUUCCGCAAUGGGCGAAAGCCUGACGGAGCAACGCCGCGUGAGUGAUGAAGGUCUGCGGAUCGUAAAACUCUGUUAGUAGGGAAGAACAAAUGUGUAAGUAACUAUGCACGUCUUGACGGUACCUAAUCAGAAAGCCACGGCUAACUACGUG
rnacentral:rRNA from 1 species